AAAGACCUAUGAAGAUUAACCAGCGACAAAAAAAACUAAACCUAUCGCCCGCUCCCUCGCGCCCCUGUUGCUCCCUCCUCGAUCCCGAUCUGGAUAGAGGGGACGAGGAGCUCCUGCCUCCCCGACGGCCGACCUCCUCCUCGCCCCGCUGCUUUGUCCGGCGCCGCCACGGCCUCUGGAGCCAGGGAAGCCAUGGCCUGAGCUCGGCCUGGAGGUCCCCGCCGCCGUCUCCUGUAGCUUCUGCCCCGCCGCCUCACCGCCCGAGCUCGCCGUCGCACCAACCUCGGCUCCGCGCCGCCGCCGGCUCUGGUCGCCGCGCCGCCACCGGCUCUGGCGUGGAUCUGGGCAUGGCAGCGCGAAGUGGCCGUUUCUCUGGCUCGAUCUGCUGCUACGGUGUCCAGGCGGCCGGAAGGAGAUGGUCGGUGAUUGGAGGGGCUGUAGGCGCGCUGGUCUUACACGGUGAGGGUUGGCAAGGUGGGCUACUCGGGUCCACUGGUUGGAUGGUUAAGGUUGCCGGCGAAAGCUGAACUCUGGCAUUGGCCGGAGUUGUCGAUGGCGGCACCGGCAGGCCGUUUCCUUGCUGAAGGGUGCUCGAAGUAAUGAGUUUGCUGCUGCUUCAAGGUUGGAAGAAACAUUCAACUUCUACCAUACUACCAGUCCUGAUGUAGCUAAGCUUUUCCACAUUGACCCUGCAGCCAAGUGCACCUCUGUAGUCUUGCUGAAGAAAGAGGAGGAGAAGUUGAACGUAUAAGGUGUCGUGGCCGGAGGCCACAUGGACCCCACCUCCGCCGCAGGGGCGACGUGUAUUUCCUCUUGCUUCACCGCCUUAUAGCCAAGCAGACCAGGAGUGACCUCCUCUCCUACUACACCAGCGGCCUUCACUGGCUCUGGAGACAUGGUGGCCAUUGACGCUCCGACGCCGAUGAGUAAUCAGUUCCAUCAUUGACAUAUAACCUGACAAGUUGUUGGGCAGGAUGGGUUCCGUUGGCGUUGUGGUCCAGACACAAUAAUUCUUUGAAGCAGCACCGUAGUGGAAUGAUGUAAAAAAAGUGUGAUGUGCCACAAUUUGGAUGAAAUGAUUUCUAGCUGCUAUGAGGAACGAAGCUUAAUCGGUGACUGCACUCUUUUUAACCAAGCUUCAGUCUAAGGUAAGUGAUACCACAUAUUAUGACUCCUCUUUUUAAUCUUCUAUUUCUCAUGCUGAAGUGUUGCUAUUAAUACUUGUAUGUUAAUUUAGCUAUUGGAAUCCUUCGUCAUCUUCCUGUUUGGUUAGUAAUUAUUUGGGAGAUAAUCACUUUGGGGUUUCAGGCACCUUGGUAUGCACAUGGCAAUGCAGAGCCCAAGAAUAUGAUUCUGGACAGUAACCUGUAGUUUCAUCAACCAUACUUCUGGUCAUACUACUGUACCUACAAUCACUCUCAUUCAUUUUUUUAGAGGAACUGCAUUUCACCGAUCUGGACAUUCUGUUAAGGAAUUUGAAAGGUUCAGGUCAUACAUGAUUGAUAUGUGCAUUUAAUUGCAAGGUCAAAACUUUUACUAAGAUGCUUCUUUGCCCCAUUACAAGUUAUGAAUGACACACUUAUUUUCAAGUUUGACGUCUAAUUGCUCCCUUCUUCUUGAUGCAUAAUUUUCAGCAAUCAAGGUUGGUCGCUACCUUACCCUGUCCUCGCAUAGUUAAUAGAAAUCCAAUUUAAGGUUUUAUAAUUAAAUACAACGCCAAGAAGUACUACCGCGGGCAUCAUGUGUGCUUGAAACAAAUCUUCUCUUUUUCUAAAAGAGUGGUAUCAAUUUGUUCGGAAUUAGAAUAUUCCUCUUUUUGAAACACUCACAUGUCUUUUGAUUAUUCUAACCUGGGACUAAGUACAGUUGGAUGCAAGCUUGAUAUGUAAGUACGUCUUAGUUUAAUUAUUAGUCCUUGACCAUGAGCAAGAAUCUAGCUAGAUGGGCUUUCAUGUUACACAUAUAUGCUUGUUACUGUUUUGCGAGCUAAUAUCUAUUAAUUAAUUAGUUAGAUGCUUGAAUUAACCUGUACUAACUAUUAUUGGUUAUCACCGUCCACUGUCUUCGUUUGGUUGUAAGUUGUUGACCAUUAGCAAGAAGCUAGCUAAUUGUGUGUGCAUGCCACACACGUGCACAUAUAUCAGUUGUUGCGAGUUAAGAUCAUCUGCCAACUACCUUUAUAUGUAAUUGUGUGCUGCAUUCUCACUGCUUCCAGUAGAUACUAUCAUUUCAGAGUUCACCUAAAAUUUGCAAUGUUCAAAUUUUUGGGAUCAAAAUACAACUUUUUUUAAAUUUAAGCCAAUAUAAAGUGUGUGCAGGUUGACUUUUAAACCAUUUUUGCUUACAAGAAGCUUAUCAGUUGUAAUGUUUAGCACCUACAUAACCUGAUGGUCCUGUAGUGACUUGGGAUUGGCGAUUAAAGAAACAUGGGUAUCGAGCAUAUUAAUGCGAGAAGUAGAUAUACAAUAUGUUAUAAAGGAGAAGACAAGUAAAUAUUGAGUGUGAAAGAUAAGUAUGAUUUUUUUACUAUCAUAUGAAUUAUUGAAUUUAAUCUGGUAUUCAACCCCUCAAAAUUAGAUUUAAUACAUGCUACUACACCAUUACUUAUCUCUAUUAUUAAAGGAGAAUUUGACAAGUAAUCAAGCAAGUCAUCACUAUCGUCGAUGGAAGUUGUCGUGCGGAGAUGGAAGUUGACAAGUUUCUCCAUGAAGCUGAUCUGAUGUGAAGCUUGUGCCAGAUAAAAGGUUAAUUGAGUUCUCAUCUCCAAUAUGUGUGCAUUCUAACUAUCCUUGUUGAUUCAGUGGUUCCAUGAUGCUACAUUUCACAUGUUUUUCACCUCUUGAUGCUACUAUGGACAGAAGGCGUUUACUAAUUUGCACUUUAAUUUUUUUCUGAUAAACUGUGCCAAUAUCACCUGCAUUAUGAUUUUUAAAUUAGUGAUCCCUGCUAUAAUGUAACGUGCCCACAUAACAAGUAUUCCGCAAUCUUCGCAAGCAUGUAUUUGUAUGUCUAACUGUAGGUGGAAGAACAAGAUCCACUGUGUGUGCAACGGCAACAAUAAAUAUCAUGUCAUUAGGGAGACUUCUGAUAAUUCUACUCUGCAUUUUUUUUGCUUUAGUAGAAGUGUUCUGCCGCAUUAUUCAACUAUGUGUGACCAAUCUGACACACCUCAGGAGUUCUAUAUAUAUAUAUGGACUGAACAAUUGAUUCAGGUUUUUUUCUCAAGUGGGGAUGCAAAUUGGGCAUCAAGGUGUACGACAGAGGAUGACAAACGAUUACGUUCUGCACGUUAGUCCGCGUACAACUUAAAAGUUGAUUGAUACUUUUCAUUUUAUAUUGAUGUUCCCUCCAGCGAGAACAAUUUUUUUGACUGGAUGUGUUUAAUUAGAUAUGCUCUUUUAUUUGUGCGAAGUUGUUCAGACUUUUCUUUGAUUCAUUAUUUUAGCUGCAUAAAAAAGGAGUAUGAGUACUGUUUGGUUCCAUGCAGGACCAACCAAGGAAGAGAAGCAAAUCACAACCCUUUAGUUCAUGGUCUAGGAGCAGGAAGUUAAUUAUCCGCUUUCAAGUAUUUGUUGCCGAAGUGAGCAUCUAAUUGCAGGAAUUCUGUGAGUUGUGUAUUAACCCCUCAAGGAAGAAGGGGGGGGGGGGGGGGGGGGGGGGGGGCGGAGAUGGAAGUUGUAGGCGCGUGCCCCCGGCCGACCGUCGUUAGACCAGGAUGAGCUAGCGGCGGUGGUCGUCGAGGACUCUAAGCAUCCGCGGAUUGUCGUGGCGUAGUGGUGCCACCGACGGCACCAACAUCAGCAGUAGAUGCAACAAUGGCGGCGGCGGUAAGAGACAUAGGCCAAGGAUAGGGAUAGAGCAACUCAGCCACAAUAAUGUUUUACUAAUUAUGAGAUGUUUCUUAUUUAUUCUGGAUAUGAUCUACUCCCUACAUUUCAUAAUGUAGUGCUCUUGAGAGGUGGAGCAUUAAAGAGCAAAUCAACUGGGCCAGGCCUUCAUGGCUUCGUCCCCUACUUUCUACUGAUCCAUGCCAACUGCAUAGUUAUUUACUUUGGAAAGGCCGAGAUAUAUUUCACAUUUAACAGAAAAGUUCACACUGCAAUUGUCUCUACAAAGUUAUGUUUUGUUUUCAUUAUUUGUUUAUGUAACUCAGUUUUGGACUUGGUACUCAUCUUGACAAUAGUGUUUUUAGAUGGUGCUGGCGAAUAGAUUCAGUUGAGUGGUGGAGUUAGCACUUGCUCAUGGUCAUGGAUGACUCUUCCUCAUCAAUGGAUGUAUGUUUAGUACUCCGUCAGUUUCAUAAUUCUUGUCGUGCUUUUAGUUCAAAGUAGAACCAUGACAAUAACUACGGAACGGAGGGAGUACUUAUUUGUCAAACCGGAGUUAGUAUGUGCAUGGUGUGUGGUAACUACUCUUGCAUUUGAAUUUUUUUUUGUGCUUUUAGUCUUUUAGAGGCUUUGUACUCCAUUGAUACACAUGUGGCGUAUCUGCAGGAUAGAUAAUGCUUCAUUGGUAGCACACACAGUGCAUCUAGAGAAAACAAUUGCUUUCAUCAGCAUACGGGGAUAUAUUCUUCAGUGGACAUUCAGCUAGAAUACAUAUGCAUUUUCCAUAUACUUCAGAGUUUUUUCUCUCAAGGGAGCUGCAUUUUUUUUGAGAAAGGGAAUAACACAUUGGGUUUUUUUCAUGGUAUUAGCCACCUCUAUUGUGCGUCUCAAUCAUUUAAAUUUUUGGCAUUGUACUAUCAUGCAUCAGUUUUGCAAUAAAUUUGUAGAAGUUUUUGCCCCCAAGAAUAUAAUGAGAAAUAUUUGCCGCAACUAAACUUUGUUGAGCAUGUCUAGAAGGCCACCGAAGAAUUUUACAGAACAAGAGAAGAUGGCGUGCACCGUAUCUUUAAGAUGACUUCCCUCACCAUGUGGCAUGCACUUUUUGGUUUUACUUUAGCGCAAUUGCCAUGUAUGUAAGGGGUGAAAUUAGGUUGAAUAUUACAAUUGUAGUUUUUUCUGAACUUUUUCAACACCCCAGCAUUAGUAAAAUACUCUCCUCAUUCCAUAAUGUAAGACGUUUUUGCAAGCUAUAUGUUUGUUAUACAUUAUAUUGCUGGAAAUCAAGAAUUUACUCUUUUUGACUAAUAUUGUGUUUCAAUAGUCCAUUUCGUGUGUUUCAAAGGGCUGCGAUAGUGCAUCUUGCUAUGCAUGGCCACUCAUGUCAAAGCUGGUUCCAGUUUGACGACCUCUCUACCAAGUCUCCAUGUUCUUCUUUCCUGUACUUUCUCCAUCUGUUGUUGUACUCUCUUGCAAGUACGGCUUAUCCAGUUUGAUGUCAUGUUGCUUCGGCAGUUGUGUAUUAACCCCUCAAGGAAGAAGAGGAGGGGGAGAUGGAAGUUGUAGGCGCGUGCCCCCGGGCGACCAUCAUUAGACCAGCAUGAGCUAGCGGCGGUGGUCGUCGAGGACUGUAAGCAUCCGCGGAUUGUCGUGGCGUAGUGGUGCCACCGAGGGCACCAACAUCAGCAGUAGAUGCAACAACGGCGACAGCAGUAAGAGACACAGGCCAAGGAUAGGGAUAGAGCAACUCAGCCACAAUAAUUUUUUACUAAUUAUGAGAUGUUUCUUAUUUAUUCUGGAUAUUAUCUACUCCCUACAUUUCAUAAUGUAGUUUUCUUGAGAGGUGGAGCAUUAAAGAGCAAAUCAACUGGGCCAGGCCUUUGUGGCUUCGUCCCCUACUUUCUACUGAUCCAUGCCAACUGCGUAGUUAUUUACUUUGGAAAGGCCUAGAUAUAUUUCACAUUUAACAGAAAAGUUCACACUGCAA